AAAUGCAAGACGUAAAAUAGAUAUGGUGCUGGAAAAUAAAUAAAGAAAAUAAAAAAAUGCAAGGGCAUAAAGUAAAUAUGAUGCAUAAAAAAGUAAUAAAAAAAGAAUAGAGAAGAAAAGGGGGUGCAGAAAGUAAAAUGCUAGAAGGAACAAAAAAAAGGAAAUGGGCUCAAAAUAAAAAGUGGGCUUAACAGAUCAAAUCUGAAUCGUCAGAUUGAUCGAAGCGUCCAGAUUUGAUCAUGGGGAGACACAGUCUUAGCCAUUAGAUCUUAAUCAAACGUCACGAGAGAAGAAGAACAAAGUAAAAACCAAGAGGUGAGACGCAUCUGAUCAAAACAGGGGAUAACAUUGGCCGUUAGAUCUAGGAUCUAACGGUUCAACCCUGAUGGUCCAUGGGGACACAGAGAUCCGCGUGCACCAUAGUAUUGGUCAUGGCAGCAGUAUAAAUUAGAAAAUAAACCCUAAAAUAACAUAAAUCCAACUUCUUCCUCUCUCUAAAGAAACGCUCAGAAGCUCUCUUCUCUCUCUAAACACACACCGCCGGAAGCUGUUUACCGGCGCAGUGGCUGGCCGGCCAUGGGUGGCGGCGCCGCCGCGUCGGAAAAAGAAACUCCUCCUUUUUUUAAAAAAACUACAUGUUUUGAAUUCCUUUUUUCCCUAGUUCUCAAAUCCACCGUUAUUUUUUGAAAACCAACACUGAUAAAGCCUAGAUCUAGCCUUGAAUCUUAGAAAAAAGGUGAACUACCUUUGUCCUUAUGUUAUCGUUUAAGCUUCAGAAAACGGUUACAGCUUGGGUUGUGUGGGUGUGGGUGUGGGCUUGGCCGUUGGUGGUGGUUUUGAUGUAGGUUUUAGGCCGCGUGAGUGAGUGGGUUACUGUGUUUGCG
rnacentral:lncRNA from 1 species